AUUGCAUCCAUUUCUUUCGUUUUCUUUCUCUCUCUCUCUUUCUCUCGCAAAUCGUCUGGGUGUGGAGGAAGCCGAGAUUGCUGUCGGAGGAGAUGCUCAUCAUCGUGAAUUGAUGAGUCGGCCGUGUCCCAUCGCAAUAUUUUGAUUGAAUCGUGAAUCGGGUCCGAUUGCAUGUAGGAGAAGCGACGUGGAAUCGUGAAUCGUGAAUUGGGAGUCCACUCAAUCGGAAGAGAUUGAGUCAAUUGGAAGCAGAGGAGAUGGCAGUUCGUGUCGAGGUUACUACAAGCACACUUGUCGUCUCCCUCCCUCAGCAAAUCUCCGUUUUCAGCAAUCGCCAAUAAACGUUAGGUAAAGCUAGAAAAAGGUUGUUUUUUUGGACUGAAGAAGUGAUUCCUUGUCAAACAGAAAAGAAGCAUGGGUACUCAUAUUGCUGGUAGGUUCAAGGGAAAGAGAGUUGUUUUUCUAAAGCAACUUGCCUCUGGAUUGCUCCUUGUCUCUGGACCGUUCAAGGUCAAUGGUGUUGCUUUGAGACGUGUGAACCAAGCCGUGGAUGCAGCUUUGAUCAAAGCCAUUGAAGCAGUUCCUGAGUUGAAGGCUUACCUUGGAGCAAGGUUUUCAUUGAAACAAGGGAUGAAGCCCCAUGAGCUUGUUUUCUAGAUUUCAUAACCUUUUUCUGAGGUUUCUAUUAGAGUAUCUGUCUCCUCAAGUUUUACACUUCAAUUGGUUGGUUCUGUUCUUGUCCACUGACCAGAGACAUAAAAUUUUGGCUGCUGUUUUAUGGAUUUCUGUUCUACAUAUGGAUAAUUUCUCAAUCUUGUUUUUGACCGUGUGAGAUAUUAAGCAAUGCAAUUCAAUUCAAAUGA